UACGUAGGUGGCGAGCGUUGUCCGGAUUUACUGGGCGUAAAGGGAGCGUAGGCGGACUUUUAAGUGAGAUGUGAAAUACCCGGGCUCAACUUGGGUGCUGCAUUUCAAACUGGAAGUCUAGAGUGCAGGAGAGGAGAAUGGAAUUCCUAGUGUAGCGGUGAAAUGCGUAGAGAUUAGGAAGAACACCAGUGGCGAAGGCGAUUCUCUGGACAGUAACUGACGCUGAGGCGCGAAAGCGUGGGGAGCAAACAGGAUUAGAUACCCU
rnacentral:rRNA from 1 species